rnacentral:rRNA from 1 species
UACGUAGGGUGCGAGCGUUAAUCGGAAUUACUGGGCGUAAAGUGUGCGCAGGCGGCAGAGCAAGUCGAGUGUGAAAGCCCCGGGCUUAACUUGGGAAUUGCGCUCGAAACUACUUUGCUGGAGUGUGGCAGAGGAAGGUGGAAUUCCACGUGUAGCGGUGAAAUGCGUAGAGAUGUGGAGGAACACCAAUGGCGAAGGCAGCCUUCUGGGCCAACACUGACGCUCAUGUACGAAAGCGUGGGGAGCAAACAGG